UUAAUUUAAAAUUUUAAAUAAAAUAAAAUUUAAUUAAAAAUUAAAUUAAAAUUUUAAAAAUAAAAUGGUCGCUGAUUGGUCGCUGAUUGGUCGCUAUUUAGCGACUAAUUAUUUUAGUCGCUAAAUAUGGUCGCUAAAUAUUCCCGCCCAAAAAGUUGUCGCAAUUUCGUCGCAAAUAUGGUCGCUAAUAACUCGCGCCAUUAAUUCCCGCUAAAUUAGCGACCAUUUUAU
rnacentral:lncRNA from 1 species